rnacentral:rRNA from 1 species
CCUACGGGAGGCAGCAGUGGGGAAUAUUGCACAAUGGGCGCAAGCCUGAUGCAGCCAUGCCGCGUGUGUGAAGAAGGCCUUCGGGUUGUAAAGCACUUUCAGCGGGGAGGAAGGCGGUGAGGUUAAUAACCUCAUCGAUUGACGUUACCCGCAGAAGAAGCACCGGCUAACUCCGUGCCAGCAGCCGCGGUAAUACGGAGGGUGCAAGCGUUAAUCGGAAUUACUGGGCGUAAAGCGCACGCAGGCGGUCUGUCAAGUCGGAUGUGAAAUCCCCGGGCUCAACCGGGGAACUGCAUUCGAAACUGGCAGGCUAGAGUCUUGUAGAGGGGGGUAGAAUUCCAGGUGUAGCGGUGAAAUGCGUAGAGAUCUGGAGGAAUACCGGUGGCGAAGGCGGCCCCCUGGACAAAGACUGACGCUCAGGUGCGAAAGCGUGGGGAGCAAACAGGAUUAGAUACCCGUGUAGUC